ensembl:snRNA U1 U1 spliceosomal RNA
AUACUUACCUGGCAGAGGAGAUACCAUGAUCAUGAAGGUGGUUUUCCCAGGGUGAGGCUUAUCCGUUGCACUUUGGAUGGGCUGACCCCUGGAAUUUCCCCACAUGUGGGCAAACUUGACCGCAUAAUUUGCGGUAGUCGGGGGAGUGCGUUUGCGUUCUUAAC